rnacentral:piRNA from 1 species
CAGUUUGUGAGAGGCAGCUGUUGCUUAG